GACACCCAGGACUUCAGGGUUGACUGGUAAAUGUAGCCUAGCUGAAAGUCAGGAAGAAAAGGAAUGGAAUGUCUGAUGGAUAGCUUGCGGUCUUUGUCACAGACACCAGACUAUAGAAAGUAUGAUUCCCAUUUAACAGUAAUGAAAGCUGGCUGAGCAAAAACCCAGAGCAUAAUUUCUCACUGGCUGGCUGCUCCAGAUAGUAAUAGCUUCAGUGCCCUUCAGAGUGGAAUUUUCCUGAGCCUGUGAAGAUGUGUGAGGUGUACCCAGCAGGUAGGAUCCUGAUUGUUACACGAACUGUCCACCUCCAUCCAGAGCCGUGUGGCUUGUAGUGCCUUCUCGUGGCAGGUAUAUUUUCCUGCCUGUUCACGUGACUUGUGUUGGCCAGUGGAAUAUAGUUUGAUCUGCAGUAGUUUGAAUCUGAGGAUGCUGAACCUGUGGAUAAGGAGAGCCUACUUUUCUUGGACAAAUGCCCUGUGUCAGAAGAGUGUGGUAAACAGAAGCUCAGCUCCUUCAAGGAUGACAGCCUUGGUUACACCACCAGGUGGUCAUCAUUCCUUCAUCUGCGAAAAAAAUAUGAGCUUGAUAAAACUGCUACCAGUGGAGCAUGUGCCACCAAGAUUGGCUUUGAUUCUCCAGGGAUACCCUGUAUGUAUCAAUAAGAGGAGGAGAUAAAGGCCGGGCGUGUUCAGCAAGAAUGUUUCUAUUUUGCUCUAUGUCAUGAUAAAUUACGCUUGCUGGCUGCAUCGAAUAUUUCUGUUGAAGAAGAAAGAACACCCCACUCUCAGGAUCCAAAUUGAGAAAAGGAUAGCUGUUCUUGGAUGUCAUCACUGCCAAUCUGCCCUGAAAUAAAAGAGAGAGUCCAUUUCCGCUGUGUUCCAAGGAAGCAGCGAGCCCUAGAACGUGACAGGUCUCUCUUUCUGCCCCUCCUCAUCGAGGGAAAGGGAGAACUACUGAAACAAAAAGAAGGAAACCUCACAAGCAGAGGGCUGAGAAACCUAGGCAGAUAACAUCUCCUUAUUUCUUAACACUCUCUUAGAAAAUUAAAAGGACUUUGUAGAAAAUCCUUUUGACUGAUGGAGUAGCUCCGAGGAACAGAGAAAGACAGAUUAACAAGAUGAAAGACCAGGAGCCAGAGGACCCAGACCAGGAGCCAGAAGACCCAGAUGCUUUGAGGGCAACAUCUUCCUUUUGUUGGAAAUAAUUAAGUGGUUCCUCUUAUUAGGUCAUGAGUGAGGUAUUGAACACUCCAGCAGUAAUCUGCACAGACCUCCAUUCUUCCAGACCUCCCUGCCAACAAUUCCGUAAGCACUCAAUUCCAGUAAAAUCCUUCUUCUGUUUAAAAUGCCUAGAAAAUUUUCUAUUUUCCUGACCAGCUUUGACUGAUACAAACAGAAAAUGUGGUGCCAGGUCCUGCAACCAUCAUCUUGCAGACAAUCCUUUCACAAUAUUCCAACAUGCUGAGGAUUCCGAGACAGAAAGACAACAGAUUCUCAGACGAUGUCAUUGAGCCACUGCCCCAGAUCCCGACAGCAUCGCGUUUUCACUGCUUUUUAGGUAAAGGAAAAUAAAAUAUACUUGGGUCAGUCAAAUUAGUUUAGUUGUAGCCAGAGUAUUCCUAUUUUUUACCCAAGCUUCUCAUCUGAGAAAUGGGGCUACAGCAAGGUUUAGCAUAUAUUUAAUGGGAUAUAUGCAGGGUGCUUGGCAUCAAGUAACCACUUAAUGUUGGUGAUUAAUGUUGAAUCAUUUUACUAGUCCUUAAGUUCAAAAUAAGAUGUAUCUUUUCCUCUCAAUGAAAUUUCCGCGGAGGAGAAUUAUGCCAAUAGAAUAUGCUUUUCUGAAUUCAAGCCUGGACAUCCAGUUAAAUAAGUUAAUGCCAAGUGAUAAUAUUUUCGGCUGACUCCUUUCUAUUGCAUUUACAAAUAGAAUUAGUGGAUCUGUUACAUAGACAUUCAUGUGUAAAGUGUGAACUGUAUGUUAAAAAUAUAAGUAAGAGAUUGAGCUUGAGAUAGCCCUAUGUGUUGUAAAGGAAAACAAACUUUAAUGUUAUGGGUAUAACUUUCUCUCCUAAUGUUCUAUAAUUAUUUCUCAUUCUAUAAUAACUUACUUUAAAUAGGGUGACCAUUUAUAAAUGCUCUGCUGGAGACAAAAAAAAAAAGGAAAAUGUUGAUUAUAUCUCAUCAGCAGAGGAUAACUGGGAGGUCAUUAUAUUGCUUACUGUUUUCUGAAACCAAGACUGUAAUCAGUGCUUCGGUUGGGAAAAUCUGUUUUCCUCACCCAGUGGUUUAUACCUACUUAGUGUCUUUAAUAUGGAAAGGUAUUUGGCUUAUUCAACUUCUCUAGCUGUGUUCAUAAAUCAAGAUAAUCAUUAUCAGCAGAACAAACAAGAGAAAAAUAUUAUGAUAAAAUGUGAGAUGUGAAAUAACAAUUUUAAGGCACAAUGCUAAUGAAAAACAGAAAAUCAUUAUUUUUUUUUCUAAAGUGAUUUAUUUGCUCAUGCAGUGUCUUUCCAAAUUUGUUUCACUUGCAGGAUACUUAAAGGCUACAAAGAUGUAUGGAUAUUGUGGCCCUGAACUCUUGUAGUUACCUAUAUUUUCAAAUCAAACUUCUCCUUCUUUGAGGUCUAUAAAAAUUAUAAAAAUAAAAUUGUAUUCAGUGGCAUCACUGGGACUUCAUAAUUAUCUUUGCAUUUUUGCUGUAAUCUGUAAUUUCUUCAAAAAGUUGAGGCUUUACAAACAUGAUUUAAAUAUCUGCUUAUGGCAAUAUAAAAUGCAUUUAAGUAACUCUCUUUUUGAUUCUUACCACCCUGAACAAUAUUCUGGUCUCGGUGGACUGACACCAAAUUGACAAACCACAGCAAAAUUGCUCAUACACUGAGCCUGGGAGAUAAAAUGGCUGAGUGACAGGUGGGACUAAUCAGUUCAUAGGUAAAAAUCAAGAUUGGAUUUGAUGAGGGGAUUUCUUGAUCCGUGGUGGAUUCAAUCCUCUUUUCAAUAUACUGAAAAGACAUUUUUGCCAAGUUUGAUUUUCAUUAUUCCCAACCCUAGCUCUGUCAGUUUUCUUCAAGGGGACAUCUCAACCCUGGCUUUCCCUAAUUCUACAGCUAACCAAAUAGCCUGAGGGGAAGAGUCGGAGUUAACAAAAGGGUGGGGAGAAAAUUAAAUGCCUGGUCUCCUGUGAAAUCUAUUUUAGAGAACUGCUAUUAGUUAUGCCAGGAGUUAGUUGCAAAAAAAAAAAAAAAAGCUGUACACUGAGGUGGCACCAAGACCAUUAUUACACUUACCUCUUCUCCUUAUCAUCAACAAUGACAAAGAGAAGUGAUUAUUUUAACAUUCAAAUUAAUUUUCUCAUAGCAGAAAUCAUGUC